GGGCCCGCACAAGCGGUGGAGCAUGUGGUUUAAUUCGAUGAUACGCGAGGAACCUUACCAGGGCUUAAAUGUAGUGGGACAGGUCUAGAGAUAGACCCUUCUUCGGACUCAUUACAAGGUGCUGCAUGGUUGUCGUCAGCUCGUGCCGUGAGGUGUCAGGUUAAGUCCUAUAACGAGCGCAACCCCUAUCGUUAGUUGCCAUCAAGUAAAGUUGGGAACUCUAGCGAAACUGCCGGUGCAAACCGUGAGGAAGGUGGGGAUGACGUCAAAUCAUCACGGCCCUUACGUUCUGGGCUACACACGUGCUACAAUGGCCGGUACAGAGAGCAGCCACUUCGCAAGAAGGAGCGAAUCUAUUAAAACCGGUCUCAGUUCGGAUCGGAGUCUGCAACUCGACUCCGUGAAGCUGGAAUC
rnacentral:rRNA from 1 species